rnacentral:rRNA from 1 species
GACGAACGCUGGCGGCGUGCCUAAUACAUGCAAGUCGAACGAACUCUGGUAUUGAUUGGUGCUUGCAUCAUGAUUUACAUUUGAGUGAGUGGCGAACUGGUGAGUAACACGUGGGAAACCUGCCCAGAAGCGGGGGAUAACACCUGGAAACAGAUGCUAAUACCGCAUAACAACUUGGACCGCAUGGUCUGAGCUUGAAAGAUGGCUUCGGCUAUCACUUUUGGAUGGUCCCGCGGCGUAUUAGCUAGAUGGUGGGGUAACGGCUCACCAUGGCAAUGAUACGUAGCCGACCUGAGAGGGUAAUCGGCCACAUUGGGACUGAGACACGGCCCAAACUCCUACGGGAGGCAGCAGUAGGGAAUCUUCCACAAUGGACGAAAGUCUGAUGGAGCAACGCCGCGUGAGUGAAGAAGGGUUUCGGCUCGUAAAACUCUGUUGUUAAAGAAGAACAUAUCUGAGAGUAACUGUUCAGGUAUUGACGGUAUUUAACCAGAAAGCCACGGCUAACUACGUGCCAGCAGCCGCGGUAAUACGUAGGUGGCAAGCGUUGUCCGGAUUUAUUGGGCGUAAAGCGAGCGCAGGCGGUUUUUUAAGUCUGAUGUGAAAGCCUUCGGCUCAACCGAAGAAGUGCAUCGGAAACUGGGAAACUUGAGUGCAGAAGAGGACAGUGGAACUCCAUGUGUAGCGGUGAAAUGCGUAGAUAUAUGGAAGAACACCAGUGGCGAAGGCGGCUGUCUGGUCUGUAACUGACGCUGAGGCUCGAAAGUAUGGGUAGCAAACAGGAUUAGAUACCCUGGUAGUCCAUACCGUAAACGAUGAAUGCUAAGUGUUGGAGGGUUUCCGCCCUUCAGUGCUGCAGCUAACGCAUUAAGCAUCCGC